rnacentral:lncRNA from 1 species
GCACAAAUACAUAAUUAAAGAGUUAUUAUCAUAAAACAUCCAUAUGCCUGAAGUUCAUUGCACAAAAUAUCCCUAUAAUUAAAAAUCAAAACGAAAAUGCAAAAAUCAAUCCAUCUUCUUCCCCCCGCCCCAUUUAGCCCCCGCAAAAAUACAACUCCCUUUUCAAUACCAAUUCGAUCUGAACUCUUGAAAUUGGAAUAAGUUCGGCAGUGAAUCUUGAUGUGGCAAUUCCGCCAAGAUCUCUUCCUUUGCUGGGGGAAGAAUUCAGACGAAUCAGAUUUAAUUGAAGAAAAAGUCCUUUCAUUACCGGUCAGAAAAAACCUGCUAUGAAAAAAGAAUAGGAGAAAAUUUGGUUUCUGGUUUUCCACUCAUCAAAUUUUUCUAGAAAAAUUAGUUUCUUAUUUAUUUUUUCAAAUUCAGAUUACGUGUUGAAAUCCUGGUGAUUGACAACUCUCUGGCUUCGCUCACUCAACUUGCUAUUGAGGUGUUUGGUGAAAUGGCCAUUAGAAAUCCUAGCUCAUUUUCCAACAAAGAAAUAGUAGAGCACUUGCGAAGAAUUGAUGAUGAUGACCCCGACCAAUAACGAGGAAAGUUCUGCUUUAGAUGCUGUGGAGAGCAGUAUAAUUUCCAAUAUUAUGGAAUUGGGUUAUGAUUCUUGUGAUGAUUCCUUGACAUUACCUAAUGGUUCAUCUGUGUUUCUUGAUGAAACUGAUGGUCUGCAUGUUUCUUCCUGGGACUCCAUUAAUGGUAGCCAAUCAAGGUUCUCAUUUCUGGAAUAGGGAAAUCAAGUGGAUGGAUCUUUCCUUACCGGAUUUUAGGAAUAAAAAGGAGCACUAGUGCAAGCUCCAGGGAAAUGUGAAUCAUGUGCUUUGAAAAAAUUCGACGGCGGCUGUAGUGGUAGAGUAAGCAGAUAAAGUGAUUUUUGUUUUCUAAGUUUUGAUUUUUAGUUAUAUAUUUAUGAAUCAUUUGUAAUUUUUUGAAAUUUUUGGGACUAUGAUUACAAUUAGUUCUUAAUUUCUUCUUUUCUUUUCCUUUUGUUUUAUUUAAAUAAAAG